rnacentral:rRNA from 1 species
AGUGAACGCUGGCGGUAGGCCUAACACAUGCAAGUCGAACGGCAGCACAGUAAGAGCUUGCUCUUACGGGUGGCGAGUGGCGGACGGGUGAGGAAUACAUCGGAAUCUACUUUUUCGUGGGGGAUAACGGAGGGAAACUUACGCUAAUACCGCAUACGACCUACGGGUGAAAGCAGUGGAUCUUCGGACCUUGCGCGAUUGAAUGAGCCGAUGUCGGAUUAGCUAGUUGGCGGGGUAAAGGCCCACCAAGGCGACGAUCCGUAGCUGGUCUGAGAGGAUGAUCGGCCACACUGGAACUGAGACACGGUCCAGACUCCUACGGGAGGCAGCAGUGGGGAAUAUUGGACAAUGGGCGCAAGCCUGAUCCAGCCAUACCGCGUGGGUGAAGAAGGCCUUCGGGUUGUAAAGCCCUUUUGUUGGGAAAGAAAAGCAGCAGGUUAAUACCCCGCUGUUCUGACGGUACCCAAAGAAUAAGCACCGGCUAACUUCGUG